ensembl:lncRNA
CAAGAAGGCAGGAGACCAUCUGAUAUGAGCUGGACCAUCUAGUGACCAGUCUUUGACCAGAUGUUCCAGAAAAGAGUCCUGAACCUACAGGUGGAUAUCCGCAAUCGCCUGAAGGAAACACAGCCUGCCUCUUCAGCUGUCCAUAUUGAGAGGAUUGACACCAUGGAGGAGUUUGAGGAGCAACGCCUCUCUGACGCACAGACCUUUGAUACCCUAGUGCUGCAAAUUUCCAGAAUUGGUGGGCGGAACACCAAGGACUGUGCCCACAAAGUGUUGGACAGGCUCUUCACCAACAGCCUCACGGCCAAAUUUAAUUUAAGGGCAAGAGGAAAAUGGGGAAACGUCCUUUAGAGGGAACAAAGCUUUAUAGAGCAAUACAAGAAGGGCUCAUGAAAUUCGAUCCCACAGCCACCGAGGAGAAGAUCAAAGUGAACGUGUCCGAGCACCUGAAGCCGCGCCGCAAAGACGUGGAGGAUUUACAACGCCCCGAUAAGCCAGCCCCCUCACUCCAUGCAGGAAGACGGUCCUAAAUGAUAUCGGCUUCCACCUCACCAGUGAUGUGGCGACAGAGGCGUGGACAUUUAGUCAAGAUUGUGUUUCCCUUUUUUUUAUAACACUGGGAGCUACAUGAGCCAUCCAUAUAUAUAUAUAUAUAUAUUUAUAAUUCUGCUUCAACUGUGGUAUGCCAUUCAGGGCCAUUUGUUUUUGAAUAAAGAUGGAAUGAUUUAUUUGUGUGUGUGUAUCUUUAGUCUCAUGUUUCCAGAGGGUGGAGGACAGCUAGUUUGAAUCUAUUACACCUUUGUAUGCUUCUCUUAUCUGUUGCUGAGACAAUCAAAUGGAGUUUUUGGUAAAUGAUCUAGUCCCAUUUCAGAAGGUGGCAUACUGUUACAGAUAAUUGUCCAAAAACUCCCAUUUGAUUUUCACAGCAUUGGGUGUUAAUUGGAGAUGCACACAAAAGUAUAAUCUAUUCCCUGUUCAAGCUAGCUGCUGAGCUAAACAAAGGCAAAUUAACUGGUACAGAAAACAUGUCCCCCACCCUCUUGAAAGUUAUAGAAGUAGUAUAAAACGUCUAAAAUUAGUCUAAAAUUAACGUUGAAAAGACGUCUAAAACGACCACAUUUGUACUAUAAAUAGCCCUUAUAUGGAGGUCCCACGGACGUGACCAUUAGACGUGCAGUAGACGUCAAAAAAAGACGUCACCUGGCGUUACAAAACAACCCCUUCAGUGGACCAGAAUUGGACGUCCAAAAUGACAUAUAAAAGACGUCACUGUGACGUCACAUUGCGCAGUGGGACAUGUGUAAAUGUAAUGACAUGUAAUGUAAUGAUGCACUCUGCAGUGUGUGGGUGGGAGAUCUGCUCAAGCAUCAGCAGUAUGUCUGUUGCCCCGUUUUGCUGAGUGCAAUAAUAGGAAGGAAUGCUGCCGUGAGCCCUUCUUUCGUGCAUAUGUCCAGCCCAAUCGUGACUUUGCGUGCGUCUGUCUUUAAAUGUCUGCCUUUCGGCAUUGUAAAGUUUAUCAACUACAUUUGUUAUUUUAGCUUUCUUGGGAACGGUCAACCUCUUAUCAAUGGUCAGCAUCAUUUUAACUAAAUCUUCGUCCUCAACCGAACGGGUAGGUAGGCCAGUGCGCCCGAUCCACGGGGCAAUAGCCUCUUCUUUGCUUUGUUGUUCGCCUGAGUCGGCUUUAUACUUCACUGGUGAACAGAAGAAUGCUUGAUAGAGUUGUUGCAUCUGAUCAUAAAACACUACUAAAUGCCUACUGCUGAAUUACAAUCAAUUAAAUGUAAAUAAUCUCUUUACGACAAUGCUUAAUUAACAUUUUUAUCAUUAAAAUAUGAGAGAAUAUCAAGUCUAGAUUUUGAAGAUUUAAAUGACGUGAUAGCACAAUGCAACUUCUAUGCGUUCCUGGCUUUAGAGCUAAAUCAAACACAUAUCCUCAUCUAAUAAACUGAUAAACAACCGAUUUAGCUACACGGCUAGAUGUGACAGUGGAAAAUGGUGCCAAUGAUAAUAACAAUUGCCCAAAUAGACAAGGAUAUGUAAACCAAUCACACAAUAACGUAUUUUUCUUGAUUAAUGCAUUUACGCUUACUAGCUAGCUAUCGAUAGCUAGUUUAAGUUGGCUAUGCUACCUCAUGGUUAGCUAUCUAAAAAUGUUGUCAAUCAUUUGCCAAGGCUAACAGAAGGCUUCAAUCGAUACUUAUUAGGUAGCUAUCCAAGUUGACAUCCUAUACACUCAAAUGCCCCUUUUGAAAUGGACUUAACGUUAGCAAAUAUAUGCUUAUAACUAGUUAAUAUUAGCUAGCUAUCAUUGAGAGUUACGAGCGAACUUACCAUGGCAUGACCUUCAGGAUGGUGGGCUUUCAGAUGUCUGAGGUUCGUCGUGUUUUUCCCACUGAUUUUAAAACCACAUGAUUUAUUUCCAGCACACUGGGUUUUGUUUUCCGUCACCAUACAUUUCAAGUGUGUCCAAAUAUCCAUUCUUUUUUUCUGUCCAGACGCUUGACCUUGUCCUUGAGCCGUCAUGCAAUGUUGAACCAGUCCCUAGGGCUUCACUUGCAGGGAGGGCGUGGAGUAUGGAGACAGGACAACUUCGUCAAAAACCAACAUUGUCUCAUCUCGUCUUGUUUACGAAAGUUCAAAGAUCCAUUUUCGUCAUGUCUUAGUCUUGUCUUAGUCAUGGGAAAAAGGUCGUUAACGAAAAAAUAUCAUUAUAGUUUCCGUCGAUGAAACACCGGUGCGUCGACCCAUUUUUCUAGACUUGCAUCAAAAGCGACGCAGCGUCCUGCAGCACCAGGCUGUGAUUGGUCUGCCAACUACGUCCUUUACGGAGUCUCACGUCUCCGUUUUCACAGCACAAUACGGCCGUUAUCAAAAGGAAGAAUGUUUACGAGAGAACGGAUCAGAUUGAAGAGCUUUUAAAUAUGAGCGCUUGUACAAGCCGUCAUU